CCCUAGCCCCGAUUGAAGCUUUGUUUGAGCUCAUUUUUCUUUUACAAAAAGGAAAAUAGCGAGUGCGGAAAGCGGGAAAUUGC
rnacentral:misc_RNA from 1 species